GAAUUAUGAUAUUAUUAUUUGGGGAUAUUAUGCAUGAUUUUAGGAGUUUUAUUUGUUUUUAGGAUUGUAUUAUUGCACAUGUAUGUAUUCCAGU